GUCGGUUUCGCCACACCCCCAAAUGUGUUUUUUCCCGUACAAGCAUGGGGGGCAGGCUAGCGCUGUUUAUCGAUAUGUGGGGCAUGAUCACCGCAGAUGUGUGGGUUUUAAAUACGGUCAGGGGUUUCCACCUAGAUCUGUUGUCCCACCCUGUCCAAACAUGUAUACCACAGGAACUGAGAUUACUGGAAGAGCAGUCUGGGUUGAUUACAGCGGAAAUCGCGGAACUUCAUGCCAAACAGGCAAUACAGGAAGUCCCGUACGAGCACCCAGGGUUCCUAAGCAAUUUGUUCCUUGUUGCCAAGAAGGGCAGAGGAGUUCGACCUGUCAUAAAUCUCAAACGCCUCAACGAAUUUCUCCGCUGCCAUCACUUCAAGAUGGAAGGCAUUCAUUGUCUUAGAGACCUGCUGCGACAAGGUGACUAGAUGUUCAAGCUGGACCUCAAAGAUGCCUAUUUGACCAUACCAAUGGCAGAGGAGCACUGGGACUUUACGUGGCAAGGACGUCGGUUUACCUGUCUGCCAUUCGGUCUAUCUUCAGCUCCCUGGUGCUUCACAAAGGUAAUGAAGCCAGUAGUGGCGUUCCUCAGGGCUCGGGGGGUCCGCAUGAUUAUUUACCUGGACGACAUCCUAAUUAUGUCUUCAUCCCCUCGAC